AUUGAACGCUGGCGGCAUGCCUUACACAUGCAAGUCGAACGGCAGCACGGGAGCAAUCCUGGUGGCGAGUGGCGAACGGGUGAGUAAUAUAUCGGAACGUGCCCAGUCUGGGGGAUAACGUAGCGAAAGCUACGCUAAUACCGCAUACGAUCUACGGAUGAAAGCGGGGGAUCGCAAGACCUCGCGCGAUUGGAGCGGCCGAUAAUCAGAUUAGGUAGUUGGUGAGGUAAAGGCUCACCAAGCCGACGAUCUGUAGCUGGUCUGAGAGGACGACCAGCCACACUGGGACUGAGACACGGCCCAGACUCCUACGGGAGGCAGCAGUGGGGAAUUUUGGACAAUGGGCGCAAGCCUGAU
rnacentral:rRNA from 1 species